rnacentral:rRNA from 1 species
UACGGGGGGGCAAGCGUUGUUCGGAAUUACUGGGCGUAAAGGGCUCGUAGGCGGCCAACUAAGUCGGACGUGAAAUCCCCAGGCUCAACCCGGAAACUGCCAUUGAUACUAUCUGUCUUGAAUAUCGUGGAGGUAAGCGGAAUAUGUCAUGUAGCGGUGAAAUGCUUAGAUAUGACAUAGAACACCAAUUGCGAAGGCAGCUUGCUACCCGAAUAUUGACACUGAGGCACGAAAGCGUGGGGAUCAAACAGG